CCGCGCUUAGCUCAGUUGGCUAGAGCACCUGACUGUAGACGAACACCACGGCAACAGGCAGCCAUCAGGGGGUCCCCGGUUCAAGUCCGGGAGCGCGGA
rnacentral:tRNA from 1 species